rnacentral:misc_RNA from 1 species
UAAAUCUCUUCUUUCUUUCUCUUUUUUUUUUGAUAUCAAGGCUCAUCAUAUAGAAAAGGGUGUCUGGCCUAUCCAUGAUAUGAAUGGCCAGUCAAAUAAGAUACAUAAUUCUUACAAAGCAGAGCAAGAACAAGAAAAAAAGAGAAAGAAAGAAGAGAUUUACAGAAUGCCUUAUCCAAUAAAGGUACAGUCACUGCAUGGCUCCUCUCAGUCUACAGCCUCCGCAGUUUAUAUGACCUCAGCUUUUCAAACCCAGCAUCUUCAAAUUAACUAGAUACCAUUUCCAAUAAUAUAGAACCCACUGUCCCACAAUCCUUAAAAAAACAUUUAUGGCCCUCGAUACCUGCGGAAAAAGAGACAACCUUGAGGUUGGUCUAGAGGGAUCAUGCCUCCUCCCUUGGAUGUGUCAAUUGCCUCUAACAUGGACACAACCUCCUCCAUCUCAGGCCGCUUGUCAGGAUUCGCAUCCCAGCAUCG